rnacentral:rRNA from 1 species
UAAAGAUUCAUCGCUGAUAGAUAGGCAUGCGUUCCAUUAGGCAGUUGGCGGGGUAACGGCCCACCAAACCGACGAUGGAUAGGGGUUCUGAGAGGAAGGUCCCCCACAUUGGUACUGAGACACGGACCAAACUCCUACGGGAGGCAGCAGUGAGGAAUAUUGGUCAAUGGGCGUAAGCCUGAACCAGCCAAGUCGCGUGAGGGAUGAAGGUUCUAUGGAUCGUAAACCUCUUUUAUAAGGGAAUAAAGUGCGGGACGUGUCCCGUUUUGUAUGUACCUUAUGAAUAAGGAUCGGCUAACUCCGUGCCAGCAGCCGCGGUAAUACGGAGGAUCCGAGCGUUAUCCGGAUUUAUUGGGUUUAAAGGGUGCGUAGGCGGCCUUUUAAGUCAGCGGUGAAAGUCUGUGGCUCAACCAUAGAAUUGCCGUUGAAACUGGGAGGCUUGAGUAUGUUUGAGGCAGGCGGAAUGCGUGGUGUAGCGGUGAAAUGCUUAGAUAUCACGCAGAACCCCGAUUGCGAAGGCAGCCUGCCAAGCCAUGACUGACGCUGAUGCACGAAAGCGUGGGGAUCAAACAGGAUUAGAUACCCUGGUAGUCCACGCAGUAA